ensembl:lncRNA
CCAGGUGGGGUGUGGGAGCAGGCAGGUCUCUGCCACCUCUAGGCACAUGAUGCCCUGGGCCUGAGGAGGAGACUCAGGCAAGAAGCCCAGGAUUCGCUAUCACUUCACAUGCCUGCUCCUCCAUAGGCGUGUGGCUCUGUAUUCCAAGUUUCUUCCACAGAAACUGCCCCGACGAUUGGGCUCCACGUUUCCUGUUGGCUUCCAGGGUGAUGCUCUUCAGCAUUGUGCUCCCUGCCCGCCCACCCGGUCUGGGUCUGUGGUGUCCUGGGCAGGCCCACUGUGGCACACUUGAUGCCCAGGCCUGAGGAGCAAAGCAGGCCCUGCCCAAACCAGCCCGCUACGAGGCCUCACACCUCAAAGCCAGCUAGAGACCCCUGGGCACUGCCUGGGUCCCAACUGGAGGGCCCCAGCCUGUGGGGCGCGCUCCCAAGCCAGUCUCAGGGCCACUGGAGUUGGAGUCAGCGGAGUGGACACAUGAAGGUCCCAGUUCCAAGCCCAAGGCAGAGGCAGGAACAACAGGCUGGGCCACUCCAAGGAAGACAGAAGAACCAAAGGACAGGGAAGGAAGUUUGCAGAUGAGAGAUCACCUCCUUUCCCCAUAUUUACACACACACACACACAAACGCGUGUGCGCGGUGUGAUCAAAAAUAUGGUGAAUUCUUAAAUUUAAAAUUGACUGCAAUGAAGCAUCCCCCGGGACAAAUGCCCCUCAGAGUCCUCCCCUCACUUUGAACACACUCCUUCCAUCCUUUUCACCACUUCCUGCAGCAGCUCUGGAGUCCUUUCCUGAGUGUCUUUAGUUGCACUGUCUGGGCAGCCUGGGGGGUCUUGAAUUAAUUCAAAACGUUUCCUUUUCAGGGUCAUUUUGACCUUGGGGAAGAGUGGGAAGGAAGUCACACGGUGCCUGAUGCAUGCCUGAGUGCGUGAGGACGCACUCUGGUGGUUUUAGGAGCUCCCUUUCUGUUGGACGGUGCUCACAGCCCAUUUACCAUUGUUUCAGUCACACCUCGUAAAGAUGCUAGAAAGUAGCAAAGACAAAGGGAUGAGAGUGUUCAGAGCCAGGGGAGGCUUCUGGGGG